rnacentral:rRNA from 1 species
UGGGGAAUAUUGCACAAUGGGCGAAAGCCUGAUCCAGCAAUGCCGCGUGCGGGAAGAAGGCCUUCGGGUUGUAAACCGCUUUUGUCAGGGAAGAAAUCUUCUCGAGUUAAUACCUCGGGAGGAUGACGGUACCUGAAGAAUAAGCACCAGCUAACUACGUGCCAGCAGCCGCGGUAAUACGUAGGGUGCAAGCGUUAAUCGGAAUUACUGGGCGUAAAGCGUGCGCAGGCGGUUUUGUAAGACAGAGGUGAAAUCCCCGGGCUCAACCUGGGAACUGCCUUUGUGACUGCAAGGCUUGAGUGCGGCAGAGGGGGAUGGAAUUCCGCGUGUAGCAGUGAAAUGCGUAGAUAUGCGGAGGAACACCGAUGGCGAAGGCAAUCCCCUGGGCCUGCACUGACGCUCAUGCACGAAAGCGUGGGGAGCAAACAGGAUUAGAUACCCUGGUAGUCCACGCCCUAAACGAUGUCAACUGGUUGUUGGGAAGGUUCCUUCUCAGUAACGUAGCUAACGCGUGAAGUUGACCGCCUGGGGAGUACGGCCGCAAGGUUGAAACUUAAAUUGAAUUGACGGGGUCAUAGCUGUUUCC